AUGAUAAUUUUCGAUUUGCCCAGCCCUCUAGCUUCUUUGGUAUCCGCGUCUUGCUCGCGAAAGGGUGUAACCUUGCCCAGCGUUGCUCAUGUCGUUGUGUGCGGAUAGGAUCACCUGCUUUCAUGCGUAGGCAAGGAUAAGGUGGGUCGUUUCAAGAAGACUUUGAACACUCGUCUUUACUGUUAUUCACUCUCCUAAUCUGUUGGUUAGCGAGAAUUUUAUUGGGAGCGGCAGGCAUCAUGAUUUGGGAUAACAAAUUAUAAGCCUCUAGAAAUGUUGGGUGAAAAGGUUGGCCCUCUCAAUGAUAUUGACAAGAUAUUGGAUGAUACGUCCUACUGUGGCUCAUGAUAAUGAUGCUUCCAAGCUUAGUUUGGACCAAAUCUUUGUUUAAAUCAUCUUCAAGGGACCAAUUUGCUCAAUAUUAAAAUUGAGAAGAACCGGAAAAGUAUUUUUACCUAUAUAAACAUAAUAAAUACAAAAAGAAAAAGCUGAAAAGAAACAGAAAGUGGCCCUCCCCCAUUCCCUCUAUUUCUCCUUCCUCUAUCCGUACUCUUCUCCUUUUUAAAAAUUUUUCUCUUUUGCUUUACCAACUUAAACUCAUAUCCCUGGCAGUACCAGUCUUAAUGUUGGUAUUGUUCUUCCUCCCAUUACUAAUAAACAGCUUCUCGUUUGUUCAAGCCGAAAGCUGGUGUGUGGCUCGGAGAGAUGCCAGUAGCCAACUGCUGCAAAAUGCAUUAGUUUAUGCAUGGUUUCAAUAGCUCAUGCUUCUUAAUCAUAAGUGAUAAGUGAUGAAAUGUAGUUGAUUGCAAUGGAAGAAAAAAAUUUGAGUACCUUCUUGGAUAUUUUGAAAUUAGGGUGCCAAUUUAAGUACACGGCUGUGGUAAAGGUACCAAAUAUUGAAAUUAGCCUUAUUUUCAAUUUUUAAUGGUUGUGUAUGUUAAUUAGACCAUGCAUUUUAUUUAUAAUUUUGGAAUUAAGAUCUCCAAAUGAACAUUUCACUCUAGAAGAGACCAAA